AGUGAACGCUGGCGGUAGGCCUAACACAUGCGAGUCGAACGGCAGCACAGUAAGAGCUUGCUCUUACGGGUGGCGAGUGGCGGACGGGUGUGGAAUACAUCGGAAUCUACUUUUUCGUGGGGGAUAACGUAGGGAAACUUACGCUAAUACCGCAUACGACCUACGGGUGAAAGCAGGGGAUCUUCGGACCUUGCGCGAUUGAAUGAGCCGAUGUCGGAUUAGCUAGUUGGCGGGGUAAAGGCCCACCAAGGCGACGAUCCGUAGCUGGUCUGAGAGGAUGAUCAGCCACACUGGAACUGAGACACGGUCCAGACUCCUACGGGAGGCAGCAGUGGGGAAUAUUGGACAAUGGGCGCAAGCCUGAUCCAGCCAUACCGCGUGGGUGAAGAAGGCCUUCGGGUUGUAAAGCCCUUUUGUUGGGAAAGAAAAGCAGCAGGUUAAUACCCCGCUGUUCUGACGGUACCCAAAGAAUAAGCACCGGCUAACUUCGUG
rnacentral:rRNA from 1 species